AGUGAACGCUGGCGGUAGGCCUAACACAUGCAAGUCGAACGGCAGCACAGUAAGAGCUUGCUCUUACGGGUGGCGAGUGGCGGACGGGUGAGGAAUACAUCGGAAUCUACUUUUUCGUGGGGGAUAACGUAGGGAAACUUACGCUAAUACCGCAUACGACCUACGGGUGAAAGCAGGGGAUCUUCGGACCUUGCGCGAUUGAAUGAGCCGAUGUCGGAUUAGCUAGUUGGCGGGGUAAAGGCCCACCAAGGCGACGAUCCGUAGCUGGUCUGAGAGGAUGAUCAGCCGCACUGGAACUGAGACACGGUCCAGACUCCUACGGGAGGCAGCAGUGGGGAAUAUUGGACAAUGGGCGCAAGCCUGAUCCAGCCAUACCGCGUGGGUGAAGAAGGCCUUCGGGUUGUAAAGCCCUUUUGUUGGGAAAGAAAAGCAGCAGGUUAAUACCCCGCUGUUCUGACGGUACCCGAAGAAUAAGCACCGGCUAACUUCGUG
rnacentral:rRNA from 1 species